AGCUCCUAUACUUGUGAAGUUUGAGAUACCAUAUUUUGCUGUUUCAGGAAUCCAGGUACGCAUCUUUUGGACCUGAAUAUGCCUACCCACAGGGUGUCUACAAUCCUCACAUGGGUCAGCAUUACCUUCAAAUAUAUGGCGUACCAGGCACAGUUAACACAAAUAUUGUCCUAUAUGGACAAAUGGGUCAUCCUCUCUCUGGCAACCAUGGGUAUCCAACCAUUCAGGGUUAUGUGACACCAGGUCGUCAUGUUCUGCAAUAUGGGGGACCCUUCGUCAGUGGAGUAACUACAGACACUAUUGCCACAACUCAAGCACAAUACCUUGCAGGUAACCCUCUCUCUCUCUCUCUGCUUUGAGCUGGGAAAUGAGUGUGAAAAUUAUGCAUACCAGAUUUGGCAUAUAGCCAAAAAAAUUAUCAACCUGGAGUUGCUACUGCAAUUUUGUUAACAAUACAUAUUUGCGUAUGUGCAUACGCCUAAGUGUAUAAAUGUCCAUCCAUGUUACACACAGACAUGCAAUUCUAGAAGCGUUACAGUUUUGAUUGUCAAUACAAUGAUAAUUAAGUGGAGACCAAUUCAUUCUUGCACAGAUCCAGGAUCAUGUGAGAUGUUUAGGAUCAAUAAAGAUGUGUGAUUAUGGCUGAACCGAAGGUAGCUUGAUGAGGCAUCCUUCUGGCUGCUGUAUGGUUGUUUUGGGCCUUCUGACUGUUGUAUGGCUGAUCUAGCAAGUUUCUUUUUUCUUUUUCUUCUUAGAAGCUUCCAACCAACCAUACAACCUUUGGUUAAUACCUUCCUAUAUGAUGUUUAGCUCCUGGCAGGAGCUAUUGCUGAACAAAAGGGGUUAAAAAAAAA